ensembl:lncRNA
GUUGGCUUUGGUUGUUUUCGCUGCUACUGUAGUUGUUCCGGCUGCGUCUGUAGUUGUAGUGGUUGCUACUGUAGUUGUUGCGGGUGCAGCUGUAGUUGUUGCAGCUGCUACUGUAGUUGUUGCCGCUGCUACUGUAGUUGUUGCAGCUGGUACUGUAGUUGUUGUUGGGUUGGCUGUAGUUGUUGCGGCUGCUACCGUGGUUGUUGCAGCUGGUACUGUAGUUGUUGCAGCUGGUACUGUUGUUGUUGCAGGUGCAGCUGUAGUUGUUAGAGCUGCAGUAGUUGUGGCUGGGGUAUUUGUGGUGGUUGCUGCUGCUGUUGUUGGGUUGGCUUUGGUUGUUUCCGCUGCUACUGUAGUUGUAACGGCUGUGACUGUAGUUGUUGCGGGUGCAGCUGUAGUUGUUGCAGCUGGUACUGUAGUUGUUGCCGCUGCUACUGUAGUUGCUGGAGCUGGUACUGUAGUUGUUGUUGGGUUGGCUGUAGUUGUUGCGGCUGGUACUGUUGUUGUUGCAGCUGCGACUGUAGUUGUUGUGGUUGCUACUGUAGUUGUUGCAGGGGCAUCUGUAGUUGUUGCAGCUGGUACUGUGGUUGUUGCGGGUACAGCUGUAGUUGUUAGAGCUGCUGUAGUUGUCGCUGGGGCAGCCGUAGUUCGUGUCUCUGCAUUUGCAACUGUUGUUGUUUCUGCAUUUCCUAACGCUGUUCAGAAAUGAUAUCAAUGAAUCAGUUUUAAUUGAAUAUUUUGAUGGAACAUUUGAAAGAUUUACUGUUUUUCAAGUCAUUAAGCUUACCAACACACAGAAGUAGGACAAUACAGAUCUUCAUCGUCAAUGGAAAGUUGUUGCCUGUUGUAAAAAGAGAUCUUUUAGAUGUUAUUAUUAACUCAGGUGUAUUUCAACCAGUAAUACAUUUAGUAAUUACAUUUAGUACUUUGUUACAUAUUAAUAAAUUUACUUCAAUUUUCAUCAACACCACAAUGUUUGACAAACUUUUACCAUUUACCGGUAUUAUUAGCAUACUUUCUUUAAAAAGUAUAAAACAUGCUAUUUUGUAAAUAAUUUAACCUUUUAAGUUAAGUUAAAAGAACAACUUUUAAAUAUCAAGACAUAGCAUAUUUAUAGUUGUACAGAUACAUGUAUCACCAAUGAUAAAGAACAUUUAUAUAAUUUCAUAACAUUGAAACAUGAAAAGGCAGGAAACGUAUCUCAUAGAAAUAGACAAUGGAGAUGAAAAACACUCACAGAGAUGGUUUGAGCUUGACUUCUCUUUCCUGCCGUGGAGUAGUUAUGCUCUCCUGUUCACCUGUUCAGGGUUCUCUGUUUGCUGGUCAAUGUUCUCCACUGAGCAUGAAGCAGCUUUUAUAUCCAUGCAGAGAAUGUAAGGUGACAUCAGACAUUGAUGAUGUUUUCCAAAGGUGCAGCCACCCCUGUAAUAUGUCAUUCAUACUGUAUGUUAUAACACCGUUUAGAAACCUGCAGAGUGACAUUCUUUUAAAAGACGUAUUAUCUCUGACGAUGAAUUGAUGUGAUUGAGUCUACGUGCAUCAGACCCACUCCAUUCUAACAACUGAUUUCUGGUUCUAAAUAUCACUCCAUAACCACACCACAAUAAUUUAAGAAAAUAAGAAAUCAUCCUCCACCUGUUACACAGGCAUACAGACUACUUUAUUUUUACUUUACAGGAGAUUUAACGCAGAGAACACUCACUUUUUACCUAUGUAAAUUUGUUUUAUUUAUUACAAGCAAAAGCAUCUUGAGCCCUGUGUGAUGAUUUUAAAACGUCCUUUUUAUUCAUUUCACUCCUUCUGUUACUUGCCACUUUGCUUUCAGUGCCGUUGUGCCAUUAUAUCCUUUCUUCCCCCCUUUCUACAUGUAUUCAGUUCCUGUUCUACAUAUUGUCCAUUAGAAUGAAAUUCUUCCUCUGAUCAGGAACAUCCCAGGUGGAUGGAAACAAGCGCUCCUCCCUGUUCUGAGUGAACCGGGUCGUGGAUGGAACAUCUCGCCACAGUCUUCUUUCGCAUUUUUCCAUUUUCUUUUUCAUUAUUAAGCUACCUGUAAUCAAAUAUAUUUCCGUUACUUUAGCAAAGCACCACGAGUUCCCUUAAUGUGACUUUAGAGCUGCUGUUCAUUCUUUAAUUAGAAACGACAUGUAUCUAACAGGGGAAACUAAUUUAAAAAUAAUUAUCAGCGCUUUAAAAAUUAAAACAAUUUGCAAAUCUUUUGAUGUAAUGAGACAGAGAAAUCAAAAUAAAUAAACAAAUGGAUCACCAACAGGGCGGCACCGCUCCCAGAAAUGUCUCGGAGCCGAGUCACUGGAGGAGAGGCAGAAUCCCAGACAUCAAACACACACAGUCUGCUCUUAACAUUGUUGUCGCUAAGCAACAAGAGCAAUCAAGGGAUGGGGGUGUAGGGGGAUGACUAGUUUUUCUAGUUUCUGGUUUCUGGUUUCUUUUAAUGAUUGUCACUCAUCCACCAAACGUCAAUGCGUAAUAUGUUGUUUAAAGUCAGUUCAGGUCAGUUCAAAUAGAACAUCAAAUGAUAGACUGCCAAAGAAUCAGAUUUGAAAUACAAAUAAAAACACUUCUACAAGAUUGUUAGAUGAAAAUAGGCAGAUGUAAAAUAAGCCAUAGAAGUUUAGACAAAUUCAGAAUGAAUUCACAAUUUCAUGAAUCCAAAUCGGCUGAAAGGUGUAAAUAUUAUAACCAACUUCUCAAUUCUACUUUUCUUCAAGAUUCUUGUUGACCAUAUUUCCCUGGAAUUUUCAGUAGUGAAACAAUAGCAUAUCAUCAUUUUGGAUAACUAAGAAACCAGGUCACAAUUUCUCAGUUGAACGCAGGUGUCAAAUAUGGUCUAAAUAUGAACCUUUAAGCCCUGUUAGCACCGUUAGCGCUGCAGGUUCCACUUCAGUGGCUCAGUGGGAACAUGAAAGUUCAUCUUUUUUUUUCAUUCUUUAAAUUGUAAUUGUACUUCUUUAAAUUGGAAAAACUUUCCACAUUUCCAUCUUCAUUCAUUGAAAAACAUCAUAAUUACAAAAUACCAUAACCAACUCUCUGACCUCUUGAUACAACUCUUUCUGUCUAUUGUCCUGUUUGUUGUCUUAAGGUUAAAGAUGCCAUUGCAUCGGCUCAUAUUAGCCAAGAUAGUGAUUAUUAUGUCAAUGCUUGAUGUUUGAUUUCAUUACUGAUAAUUGUACUGUAACUGUAUACUCUUUGUGGGUCUCUGAAUGUCUUUCUAAUGUCUUUUGUCUCACAGCCUGAGCACAUUCCUUGUUCUCGUGUCAGUCGCACAUGAUGCAUCCUGACAUGUUGACUGUUUACAAACAACGCCCUGCUCUUCUGCCAACGUCACAACAACAGCAAAGAAAUGUCCCCACAAGAGUGGGCGGGGCUUGUUUCCCUGUAAUACGUCUGUCUCAAACAGCUGUAAUACCUUUAUUUAGAAAUAGGUUUAGAUGAUGUCAUAAUUCACUUUUAUUUGUGCAAAAACGAAACAAAUAAAAGCUUUUAUUCAGCGGCAGAUUAAAUAGUUAAAUAGUCAAUUCCUCAAUUUAAACACUUGAAUUCAACAUAAAAAAUCUAAAUGUCCCCAAGGGCGGUCCAAAGUGUGGCCUGGGGUCCAAAACUAGUCUUAUAAUGUAUUUUUUAUGGAUCACAAACACUGUUAAAUAAAAAGUGGUCAAUCAAUUGUAAAUAAGUAAUGUCAUUAUAUUUUUCUGGAUAUAUUGUACAAACAAAUGAUGACGCGUGUCAACGAGCUAAAAAGAUCGAAAACCGACCCCUCUCAUCCCGGAUGAAAACUGUUUGUGAAUAACUUUUUUAAUAUUUUAAAUUUUUAACUUUAACUUUAUUCUCUUGUUUUAUACUAACCCAUAGUCUUAUUCUACUAACCCAUUGCAUUAGCAUUUCAUUUUACUUUAUUUUAUUACUUGUGCACUGCUGUCUUGUUGUCUAUUGUUUUUAGGAAGCUGCAUGGCGGGGAAGGUAGGACUCAGACGCAGAGUUUUCAAAAAGAAAAGGGACUUUAAUCAUUAAAAAGGUUUUCAAAAGCAAACGGCCAAGGGGCAAAAACGGAGACAGGAACCAGGAACGAGAACAAGAUUGUGGACCCAGGGAGAACAGAGGAAGGAAACUACAAAAUAAAACCAGACACGAACCCAAACCGUGACAUAUUGUUACACUGUCUACUGUCAAUCACCAACCGCCAAGACAAAUUCCUUGUAUGUUUGACAUAUUUUGGCAAUAAAUGUUUCCUGAUUCCUGAACUGUUUAGCCAGGGUUAAUUCAUAAAGUGGAUCAUUAUCACUUGAAUGGUAUCAAUCCCUGCUCUGUUAAUAAGGCAAUGACAAUAAGGCAUUCAUGCCUUCGAUCACCCGGAUAUUCUCACACUUACAUGAAAGACUCACAACUGUUGAGCUCACACCGAUUAUAUUGGCAUUAAAUAGUCAAUUAAAAACAAAUUCAUCUUUUCAUAACUUCCAUGUGUUUUCAACCGAGGUGAAAAGUUCAAACCAGAGUCUGGAUAAGAAGGCAUUGCAGUUUAUUUAAAGUAAUGGCCUUGGCCACAUGACUCCCUGGUGCCCUUUUAAGAUUUUCUUUCCUAAAAUCUUCUUCUCUUUUGGUUGCAGCAAAUCCCAUGAAUAAUAUUUGAUCAGUAAAUAUAAACAAAAAUAUUCCCUAUUCUUUUAGAAUUAAUAUUUUAUCCGAUGAAGAUUGAUAUAAAUCUGUCUUUGUAGGAUUUAAAUCCUAUAACAUCUACUGGAUAUAAAUGUUACCAUGUUUAUAAAUAGCACAGAGCCGAUGUGAUUAUGAGUCAAUGGAAUAUGUUUGUGAGAUUUAAAGGAAGAUAUUUCUCGAGUGUAAAAUGAUCAGAGGUAUUUUGUUUUGGUUUCACUUUGUGACGACAGCAGCUUCCUUUGCGCAGGAAUAGAAAUAGAAACAUGGUUUUGACUUACGCCGGCCUCGCCGAGGCGCCGCCCUCCGCUUUAUCCUGCGCACACGGCCGUCCUUGUGAGGAAGAGAACCUGAACACGGGAGGAGAGCAUCGACCCAGAGGAGCAGCAGAAGGCCUCGGAUCAGUCCAACACCUGGAAGGUCAUGUGACUCCAGGUUCUAAAAGCAUCAUCUUUGCUAGAAUGGCACCACAAGGUGACGUCAGGGGGCUCUGCAGAGAGGAAGUAGAGGAAACACCAAAGAAACAUCAUGUUCUCCAGUACAGACCUCAGAGGACCAGACGAACCGCUGUGAGCUCAUCAGCGCUGCACCAGAAGGUCGUCCAGGUCCCCUCUCUCCACUAUAUUAAUGUUUAUUUAUUAACAGAUGGGAAUCAAUCAGGAACGGUAAAUAAACCAGAAGCUAACGCAGCGUUCUGCCUUUCUGGAUGAAAGGAUCAGUUAAAUAAACUAAAACUGAAACAAAAGAAUAACCUUCCAAAAGAGACAAUAAUAAUAAUUUGUAAAAGGAGAAGAGGAAGAGCAGCAACAUCAUAGCAGUACAGGGUUCUUAUUAUUAAAGUAGACGGAUGAAAGGGACACAAUUAACAGGGAAGACUUCCGCCUGAAUAAAAAAGUAGAAAGAACCAAAACAAAGAACUUACAACACAUUACAAAGCAAUAUGAACUACAAAGUGUAUUUCGAAUUAGAAUGGAACCUACAAACACACACUAAUGACUUCAUUUGGGUCCUUUCUACGGAUACAAAACCUUUUUAUUUGCAUAAAAAUACACAUUUACCUCUGAAACCUGUUGUUCAUCCGCAAGAAAGCUUUCGAUGAACGGAGACGUUUCCAGCGUGCUCACCUGUGGACCGACCUGUCUCCACGGGGUGGAGAAGAGGGACACCUAGUGGCACCUGUGUGCUGCUACGUCUGUACCGGGGGAGUCCAGGACAAGAAGGACUCCAAAGCAGAAAUACUUUAUUUUAAAGUAAGAAUACAAAAUGUCUACCGGCAAACGGACCAACGAGUCAGACCAAAAGACCACCCAUCAUGGACUAACGAGCCGACAAGGAGACAGGGACACGCAUGGACAAGGAGACAGAGGGAGGGCCAGGCCGGUGGGGGGCUGUCCGGGAGGAAGUCGGCGUAUCUUGCUGCUACUUGUGACCCUGUCUUUUUCGUGUCUCAUUCUCAUUGUCCUCCUCACCCGUUCACCUGUCGGCCCAGUAGCACAUACAGUAUGUGCUUUCAGGGUCCGAUCGAUGCUCAAGGUGCGUCCGCUCCCGCCGCCCCCCUCGCCAUCCACGCCUUAAAUCUUCGGCUGCUCUCCAGCCACGCCGCCUGCCAAGGGCCCGUUUUAGAAUAACCUAUUUUCCCGGAAAGGACUUGCCGAGGACGCAUCGGAGCAAACCCGUUCUUGUGAGAACCAAAUAUCCAAGAAUGCAUUUCACCGCAGAUACAGACAACAACUGUCAACUGAAAGUCGAAUGUUUCUAAAUACUAGUAACGUUAUAUUAAGUCACAUACAGUCAUUUUAGGACUUUUUUAGGCGAGAAGUUAGUUGUUUAAUCCUCAUGUGGACAAACCUCACAUUUCUGUGGUCGG